UACGUAGGGGGCGAGCGUUGUCCGGAUUUAUUGGGCGUAAAAGGCUUGUAGGUGGCCACGUCAAGUCGGAUGUGAAAUCUCCCGGCUCAACUGGGAGGGGUCAUUCGAUACUGGCGGGCUCGAGGCCGGUAGGGGGAAGCGGAAUUCCCGGUGUAGUGGUGGAAUGCGUAGAUAUCGGGAGGAACACCAGUGGCGAAGGCGGCUUCCUG
rnacentral:rRNA from 1 species